AAAUCCUCCUAAAAUGUCAAAUAUACUGAGAACUAAAAGAUAUUUUGUCCAGUAAAGAAAUAUUAAUGUAGGUCAAAGUUUUCACUGACCAUGCUGUCUGGUCUAAUCAUUAUCUGUGUUUCUUUUUUGCAUUUAACACUUCCUUUUAAUGCUUAUAUACACAGUUCAUCAAAAGAAAUCAUAAUUUCACUGCAAAAUGUUAAAUAACAUACCCAUGAAAAAAAGCUUUUGCAGGGAAAAAAUUGACUAAAAUGUUUUCUUGAGAAUUCCCCUUCAGAGGUUGCAAAAUGUUCAUGUCAUUAAUAAAGGCGUCAUGAGUUGAUUUGAAGGUGCAACUUGCAGUAGUCAAGGUAGUUAAUAUUGUAAGUUCACAAAUUUUUGCAUGCAUUUAUUAUUUGAUUUUUGAAUAAUAAACAAAAAUAUGAGAUUAAUCAUCCAAAUAUUAGGAAAUACUACAUACAAAUAGUGCUUUCAAAAUUAAAA
rnacentral:lncRNA from 1 species